rnacentral:rRNA from 1 species
UACGGAGGGGGCUAGCGUUAUUCGGAAUUACUGGGCGUAAAGCGCACGUAGGCUGAUUGUUAAGUCAGGGGUGAAAUCCCAGAGCUCAACUCUGGAACUGCCCUUGAUACUGGCAAUCUCGAGUCCGGAAGAGGUUAGUGGAAUUCCUAGUGUAGAGGUGAAAUUCGUAGAUAUUAGGAAGAACACCAGUGGCGAAGGCGGCUAACUGGUCCGGUACUGACGCUGAGGUGCGAAAGCGUGGGGAGCAAACAGG